rnacentral:rRNA from 1 species
AUUGAACGCUGGCGGCAGGCCUAACACAUGCAAGUCGAACGAGUGGCGGACGGGUGAGUAAUGUCUGGGAAACUGCCUGAUGGAGGGGGAUAACUACUGGACACGGUAGUUAAUACCGCACACCAUCAGCUGUGCCCAGAUGGGAUUAGCUUGUUGGUGGGGUAACGGCGCACCAAGGACACGAUCCCUAGCUGGUAUGAGAGGAUGACCAGCGACACUGGAACUAAGACACGAGCCAGACUCGUACGGAAGGCAGCAGUGGAGAAUAUAGCACAAUGGGCGCAAGCCUGAUUCAGCAAUGCCGCGUGUAUGAAGAAGGCAUUCGGGUUGUAAAGUACUUUCAGCGGAGAGGCGUUACCCGCAGAAAAAGCCCCGGCUAACUCCGUGCCAGCAGCCGCGGUAAUUC